AAGGUCACGUGACCCCUCCCAAGGUCAUCUCAAGGUCACGUGACCCCCAAGGUCACGUGACCUUGGGGGUCACGUGACCUUGAGAUGACCUUGGGAGGGGUCACGUGACC
rnacentral:pre_miRNA from 1 species